rnacentral:tRNA from 1 species
AGGGGUGUAGCUCAAUUGGUAGAGCGCUGGUCUCCAAAACCAGAGGUUGGGAGUUCGAGCCCCCCCGCCCCUGCCA